rnacentral:rRNA from 1 species
AGUCGAGCGAGCGGAACUAACAGAUUUACUUCGGUAAUGACGUUAGGAAAGCACGCGGCGGAUGGGUGAGUAACACGUGGGGAACCUGCCCCAUAGUCUGGGAUACCACUUGGAAACAGGUGCUAAUACCGGAUAAGAAAGCAGAUCGCAUGAUCAGCUUUUAAAAGGCGGCGCAAGCUGUCGCUAUGGGAUGGCCCCGCGGUGCAUUAGCUAGUUGGUAAGGUAAAGGCUUACCAAGGCGAUGAUGCAUAGCCGAGUUGAGAGACUGAUCGGCCACAUUGGGACUGAGACACGGCCCAAACUCCUACGGGAGGCAGCAGUAGGGAAUCUUCCACAAUGGACGCAAGUCUGAUGGAGCAACGCCGCGUGAGUGAAGAAGGUUUUCGGAUCGUAAAGCUCUGUUGUUGGUGAAGAAGGAUAGAGGUAGUAACUGGCCUUUAUUUGACGGUAAUCAACCAGAAAGUCACGGCUAACUACGUGCCAGCAGCCGCGGUAAUACGUAGGUGGCAAGCGUUGUCCGGAUUUAUUGGGCGUAAAGCGAGCGCAGGCGGAAGAAUAAGUCUGAUGUGAAAGCCCUCGGCUUAACCGAGGAACUGCAUCGGAAACUGUUUUUCUUGAGUGCAGAAGAGGAGAGUGGAACUCCAUGUGUAGCGGUGGAAUGCGUAGAUAUAUGGAAGAACACCAGUGGCGAAGGCGGCUCUCUGGUCUGCAACUGACGCUGAGGCUCGAAAGCAUGGGUAGUGAACAGGAUUAGAUACCCUGGUAGUCCAUGCCGUAAACGAUGAGUGCUAAGUGUUGGGAGGUUUCCGCCUCUCAGUGCUGCAGCUAACGCAUUAAGCACUCCG